rnacentral:rRNA from 1 species
AUGAACGCUGGCGGCGUGCUUAACACAUGCAAGUCGAACGGGAUCCAAGGGGUGCUUGCACUUUUUGGUGAGAGUGGCGAACGGGUGAGUAACACGUGAGUAACCUGUCCUUUUCUUUGGGAUAAGCAUUCGAAAGGGUGUUUAAUACCUUAUGUUCUGUCUGCCUCGCAUGGGGUGGGUGGGAAAGGCUUUGGCCGGAUUUGGGUGGGCUCGCGGUCUAUCAGCUUGUUGGUGGGGUGAUGGCUUACCAAGGCUUUGACGGGUAGCCGGCCUGAGAGGGUGGUCGGUCACAUUGGGACUGAGAUACGGCCCAGACUCCUGCGGGAGGCAGCAGUGGGGGAUAUUGCACAAUGGGCGAAAGCCUGAUGCAGCGACGCCGCGUGGGGGAUGAAGGCCUUCGGGUUGUAAACUUCUUUUGCUCUGAACAAGGCAUGCCAGUGGGUGUGUUGAGUGUAGGGGUUGAUUAGCGCCGGCUAACUACGUG